AGAGUUUGAUCCUGGCUCAGGAUGAACGCUGGCGGCGUGCCUAAUACAUGCAAGUCGAGCGAGAAGCUUGGAAAUGACGCUUCGGUUGAUUUUCCAAGCGGACAGCGGCGGACGGGUGAGUAACGCGUAGGCAACCUGCCCCUGACAGAGGGAUAGCCAUUGGAAACGAUGAUUAAAACCUCAUGACACCGUAGUAGCACAUGCUACAUCGGUCAAAGAUUUAUCGGUCAGGGAUGGGCCUGCGUCUGAUUAACUGGUUGGUGAGGUAACGGCUCACCAAGGUGACGAUCAGUAGCCGACCUGAGAGGGUGAUCGGCCACAUUGGAACUGAGACACGGUCCAAACUCCUACGGGAGGCAGCAGUGGGGAAUAUUGCACAAUGGGCGAAAGCCUGAUGCAGCAACGCCGCGUGAACGAUGAAGGUCUUCGGAUCGUAAAGUUCUGUUGCAGGGGAAGAUAAUGACGGUACCCUGUGAGGAAGCCCCGGCUAACUACGUGCCAGCAGCCGCGGUAAUACGUAGGGGGCAAGCGUUAUCCGGAAUUAUUGGGCGUAAAGAGUGCGUAGGUGGUCUACUAAGCGCGAGGUGAAAGGCAAUGGCUCAACUAUUGUUAGCCUUGCGAACUGGCAGACUUGAGUGCAAGAGAGGAAAGCGGAAUUCCUAGUGUAGCGGUGAAAUGCGCAGAUAUUAGGAGGAACACCGGCGGCGAAGGCGGCUUUCUGGACUGUAACUGACACUGAGGCACGAAAGCGUGGGUAGCAAACAGGAUUAGAUACCCUGGUAGUCCACGCCGUAAACGAUGAGCACUAGGU
rnacentral:rRNA from 1 species